GCAUUAAGACAGUAGGAUCCUAGCAAGAUGAAUAUGAAGGGAAACUUUCCAUUUUUAAACAUAUAGUCUGGCUGAAUUCAUUUUAUAAAUACCUUAGCUCACGAUACUCCCAAGGUCACAACCACCCAAUUUUCAUGAUGAAUUUUAGCAUAACUGUAGAGUAUCGAUAAGGACCAAUACAUGACGGAGGAAAGCAGUGGCAGAAGCGAAAUAUUUC
rnacentral:lncRNA from 1 species